GACGAACCGUGCGAACGUUGUUCGGAAUCACUGGGCUUAAAGGGCGCGUAGGCGGGCGGUCAAGUCAGAGGUGAAAUCCCACGGCUCAACCGUGGAAGUGCCCCUGAUACUGACUGUCUCGAGGGAGGUAGGGGCGUGCGGAACUUCCGGUGGAGCGGUGAAAUGCGUAGAUAUCGGAAGGAACACCGGUGGCGAAAGCGGCGCGCUGGACCUCUUCUGACGCUGAGGCGCGAAAGCCAGGGGAGCAAACGGG
rnacentral:rRNA from 1 species